ACGGGAGGCAGCAGUGGGGAAUAUUGCGCAAUGGGGGGAACCCUGACGCAGCAAUACCGCGUGAGCGAAGAAGGUUUUCGGAUCGUAAAGCUCUUUUAUUGGGGAAGAAGAAUGACGGUACCCAAUGAAGAAGUCCCGGCUAACUACGUGCCAGCAGCCGCGGUAAUACGUAGGGGACAAGCGUUGUCCGGAAUGACUGGGCGUAAAGGGCACGUAGGCGGUUUUUUAAGUCUGAUGUGGAAGGUACCGGCUCAACCGGUGACAUGCACUGGAAACUGGAAGACUUGAGUACUGGAGAGGCAAGCGGAAUUCCUAGUGUAGCGGUGAAAUGCGUAGAUAUUAGGAGGAACACCGGCGGCGAAGGCGGCUUGCUGGACUGUAACUGACACUGAGGCUCGAAAGCGUGGGGAGCAAACAGGAUUAGAUACCCUGGUA
rnacentral:rRNA from 1 species